AAUCAUGAGCUGCGUCCGAAUUGCCAAGUAGUAGUCGAAGUAGUAGUCGAAGUAGUAUCUAGCAUGUCCGAAUUGGCCACCGGAGCGAGUAGCAUGCUACUUCAGAUACUACUUCAGAUGCUAGACACGCCCACAUUGUAGGUUGGUCUCGGUGCAUCCUACGGACAUGCUACUGACCCAAAAUGCACCGCGGGCUUCUUCUUCGUCCUCUUAAAAGUUGUAGAAGCGCAUGUGAUGCUAGCGCCACCAGCUGCUCUGCCUAUUUAAAAGUGUCGCGAACGCCGGCUGGCCACAGCAGCGCGCACCAUGUCGGAGCAGCAGCAGCAGCAGGCGGGACCGCAGCAGUACAGAUGUAAGUUUCAUGUAACUUCACACACUGUCCUAAAAAAUGUGCGGUUGUAUCUCUUUGUCAUGUCAUGGUGUCAUAUUUGCCCAAGUAAUCAUUUUAUGAGCAAAUAUGUGGCGACAUCAUGGAGGUAAAGCUCACUUAUUCCAUCAUUAAACUGCACAGCUGCAGUACUACAGCCAGGCCCGCAGAUGAGGAGCUUCAGUUACCACUGUCUGCACGGGCGCAGUACCUACUCUCUGCCUGCGGGGGUCGUCUUUCCCCACCGCUCGUCUAGUGUGUCCGAAUUGGGCCAACGUUUUUAGUAUGUAGGAGUAGGAUCUAGCAGUAGCACGUAGCAGUAGCAUGUAGUAUCCGAGCGGGCAGUUCGGACGCAGCAAGUGUUUC